GGGUUUCUGCCCCUCUCGUGAACGGGUUCGAUUCCAGUGGCCUAUAACGACUCCGAGGGAGCUGGCUCUGAUCAGGUCCAGGCCUGGUUAUCUGGUACCCACCUGUAUGCACAGGUCCUCGGGAAACGUCACCCACACGGUUGCCGCGGUUCCCGC
rnacentral:other from 1 species